CUGGCGGCACGCCUAACACAUGCAAGUCGAACGAAGUAGCAAUACUUAGUGGCAGACGGGUGAGUAACAUGUGGGUAUCUGCCCUUUGGCCUGGAAUAACACGAGGAAACUUGUGCUAAUACCGGAUAAGUCUUUACGGAGAAAGCUUUAUGCACCAUUGGAUGAGCCUGCACUUGAUUAGUUUGUUGGUGGGGUAAUGGCCUACCAAGACUGUGAUCAAUAGCUGAUUUGAGAGGAUGAUCAGCCACAUUGGGACUGAGACACGGCCCAAACUCCUACGGGAGGCAGCAGUGGGGAAUCUUGCACAAUGGAGGAAACUCUGAUGCAGCGAUGCCGCGUGAGUGAAGAAGGCCCUUGGGUUGUAAAGCUCUUUCGUCGGGGAAGAAAAUGACUGUACCCGAAUAAGAAGGUCCGGCUAA
rnacentral:rRNA from 1 species